CGCGGUUUGGUAACACUGAUUCGGAGGCAAAUGUUCGUACCAUUUGAAAAGUGAAGUUUGGACUGACUCCAGCUUAUUAAGGCCAGGUGUUUCAUUAAGACAAGAACUCACCUGAGUCAGGAUCGGACCAGAAGUACAGUCCCGGACAAAUGUUCAUGAUGCACUCAAGGUGGAAGGUGCAAAGUCUACCCAACCCUUACUGGACGGCAGGUCGCUAUUGGUGAUGCCACUCAUGAAAAAACAAAGGUUUCCAGAUCGCUAAAAAAUUUAAAGGUACAGUAUGACAAAAUAUAUCCAAUUACAAUUAUUUUAUUUUUAAUCAAUACAAUUUUUUAAAAAUUACAAAAUAUUUAAAAUAGACUGUAGACAAACAUAGUAGAUAAUAAAACGAAAAUAGACACUUGGUAUUCUGCAUUGCAAAAGAAAAUUAAAUAUAUUUGUUGAACGGUUGUACUGUAGUGAUAGUUUAGUGUAGCCAACCAAGUAAUAAAUUUUAAUUGUUGCUUCUACACUGCAGCAACUAAAAAAUAUAUAUUUAGCAUGUCUUUCAAAAUGAAAGAAGGAAGAUUCGUGUUAUUUAGAAGUGCAAAAUUGGCCAAUCAUGGGCCCAGAGGUGCCAAAUAACUUAGCAAACUAAGUGCCAAAAGAACAGUGUCAUUUCUAAGUUUUUAACACGAUGCCUCCGAUUUGAUGAUCCAAAUACACGGGUGGAGAGGGUGAAAACAGACAGGUUUGAUCUAGUGUGGGCUGUGUGGGACAAGUUCAUGGAGCAUUGCAAGGACAAUUAUGUGCCAGGAAAGAAUGUAAUGGUGGAUGAGCAGUCGUUGACAUUUCGCGGAAGAUGUUCAUUUAGAAUGUACAUAGCAAAUGCC